rnacentral:rRNA from 1 species
UACGGAGGGUGCAAGCGUUAUCCGGAUUCACUGGGCUUAAAGGGUGCGUAGGUGGGCAGGUAAGUCAGUGGUGAAAUCUCCGGGCUUAACCCGGAAACUGCCGUUGAUACUAUCUGUCUUGAAUAUCGCGUAGGUAAGCGGAAUAUGUCAUGUAGCGGUGAAAUGCUUAGAUAUGACAUAGAACACCAAUUGCGAAGGCAGCUUACUUCACGAUCAUUGACACUGAGGCACGAAAGCGUGGGGAGCAAACAGG